GCAUCAGUAGUCCAACGGUAGGAUACCUGCCUUCCAAGCAGGUGGUCCGGGUUCGAUUCCCGGCUGAUGCA